rnacentral:rRNA from 1 species
AUUGAACGCUGGCGGCAUGCCUUACACAUGCAAGUCGAACGGCAGCGCGGACUUCGGUCUGGCGGCGAGUGGCGAACGGGUGAGUAAUACAUCGGAACGUACCCUGUUGUGGGGGAUAACUAGUCGAAAGAUUAGCUAAUACCGCAUACGACCUGAGGUUGAAAGUGGGGGACCGCAAGGCCUCACGCAGCAGGAGCGGCCGAUGUCGGAUUAGCUAUUUGGUGGGGUAAAGGCCCACCAAGGCGACGAUCAGUAGCUGGUCUGAGAGGACGAUCAGCCACACUGGGACUGAGACACGGCCCAGACUCCUACGGGAGGCAGCAGUGGGGAAUUUUGGACAAUGGGGGCAACCCUGAUCCAGCAAUGCCGCGUGUGUGAAGAAGGCCUUCGGGUUGUAAAGCACUUUUGUCCGGAAAGAAAUCGCGCUGGUUAAUACCUGGCGUGGAUGACGGUACCGGAAGAAUAAGCACCGGCCAACUACGUGCCAGCCGCCGCGGUAA